AAGAUGCGCGCCCGGUGUCUUGCAGUAGCGCCAGUCGCCGAGCCCGGCCGCGCGUGCAGGUCCUGUUCCACGUGACGAGGCCGGAAGUGAGCCGAGCCCGCGGCCGCCGAGAGGCUGCAGUGCCUGAGGCUCUGAGCCUUCCGGGGACGCCCGCGAGCUGCGGAGGCAGCUGCCGGCCGGCGGACGCGCUGGGGCUGUGCGUGGCGCAGCUGGAGCUGCCGCCCGCCUAGUUCGGGCCCGCGCCCGGCGGCGCCGUGGAGCUCUACUACGCCGCGCAGCCGGCCGACGAGCGCGGCGCCUGCGCCGGCGGCGACCCCGCGAAGGCCAACGCCAUCCGCCCGGGCAAGGACGGCGCCGCAGCGAGGCCGCCGCACCUGCGGAGGAUCGGCGCCGUGGGCCUGCACCGCGCGCGGGAGGGCGCCGCGCUCAGCGAGCUGCACCUGGACGCCGACGUGGUCGUCCGCCUUCCCUCCGGGCCGGCCAAGCCCGGAGCCGUGGUCGCCGCCCACGUCGCCAUCGCCAGCGACUCCACUGUGGACUUCUUCGUGCUCAGAGCCAAGGUGAAGAAGGGGGUGCGGAUCCUGAGCGCCCAGCCCAGCGAGCCCCGGCACUGGGCCGUGAAGCAGGAGGUGGGCAACGGCGGGAAGCAUGCCACCGCCACCGUGUCCUGCCAGCGCCUGGCACAGGCAGCGCGCAACAGGACA
rnacentral:lncRNA from 1 species